rnacentral:lncRNA from 1 species
AUGGCUUCCAUCUCCGAGCUCGCUUGCAUCUACUCCGCCCUCAUCCUGCACGACGAUGAGGUGACGGUCACGGAGGAUAAGAUCAAUGCCCUCAUUAAAGCAGCUGGUGUCAGCGUCGAACCUUUCUGGCCUGGCUUGUUUGCCAAGGCUCUGGCCAAUGUCAACAUUGGGUGCCUCAUCUGCAAUGUAGGGGCUGGUGGGCCCGCUCCAACAGCUGGAGCUGCGCCUGCUGGUGGUGCUGCUCUGUCCACUGCUGCUGCCCCAGCUGAGGAGAAGAAAGUGGAGGCAAAGAAGGAAGAGUCCGAGGAGUCUGAAGAUGACAUGGGCUUUGGUCUUUUUGACUAA